GACGAACGCUGGCGGCGUGCUUAACACAUGCAAGUCGAACGGUGAAAGGGAGCUUGCUCCCUGGAUCAGUGGCGAACGGGUGAGUAACACGUGGGCAAUCUGCCCCAGACUUCGGGAUAACGCUUCGAAAGAGAUGCUAAUACCGGAUACGAACUCCUUGGGCAUCCUUGGGGUUGGAAAGUUUUUCGGUCCGGGAUGGGCCCGCGGCCUAUCAGCUUGUUGGUGAGGUAACGGCUCACCAAGGCGACGACGGGUAGCCGGCCUGAGAGGGCGACCGGCCAAACUGGGACUGAGACACGGCCCAGACUCCUACGGGAGGCAGCAGUGGGGAAUAUUGCGCAAUGGGCGAAAGCCUGACGCAGCAACGCCGCGUGAGGGAUGACGGCCUUCGGGUUGUAAACCUCUUUCAGCAGGGAAGAAGCGAAAGUGACGGUACCUGCAGAAGAAGCACCGGCUAACUACGUGCCAGCCGCCGCGGUAA
rnacentral:rRNA from 1 species